UAUUAAAAUUUCAUCUAUUUAUAUUGUUAAAAACUGAUGUGCCUAACAAAAUAACCAAGACACGUGACGUGCUAUAUAUAUAUCAUGCUGACGUAUAAUGAUCAAUUUUUAACAGCAUAAAUAGAUGGAAUUUUUAACA
rfam:Gossypium hirsutum cultivar TM-1 unplaced genomic scaffold scaffold26.1, whole genome shotgun sequence